rnacentral:rRNA from 1 species
UCGACCUGAGCUCAGGCAAGACUACCCGCUGAACUUAAGCAUAUC